AUUGAACGCUGGCGGCAUGCCUUACACAUGCAAGUCGAACGACAGCACCGGAGCAAUCCUGGUGGCGAGUGGCGAACGGGUGAGUAAUACAUCGGAACGUGCCCAAUCGUGGGGGAUAACGCAGCGAAAGCGGUGCUUAUACCCCAUCCGAUCUACGGAUGCAAGCAGGGGACCGCAAGGCGUUGCGCGAAUGUAGUGGCCGAUGGCAGAUUAGGUAGUUGGUGGGGUAAAGGCUCACCAAGCCAACGAGCUGUAGCUGGUCUGAGAGGACGACCAGACACACGGGCAGUGAGACACGGCCGAGACUCCGACAGGAGGCAGCAGUGGGGAAUUUUGGACGAUGGGCGAGAGCCUGAUCCAGCAAUGCCGCGUGCAGGAUGAAGGCCUUCGGGUUGGAAACUGCCUUUGGACGGAAGGAAACAGAGUUCUCUAAUAAAGAGUGCUAAUGACGGUACCGGAAGAAUAAGCACCGGCUAACUACGUG
rnacentral:rRNA from 1 species